rnacentral:rRNA from 1 species
GGCGAACGGGUGAGUAACACGUGGGUGAUCUGCCCUGCACUCUGGGAUAAGCCUGGGAAACUGGGUCUAAUACCGGAUAGGACCAUGCUUUAGUGUGUGUGGUGGAAAGUUUUUUCGGUGUAGGAUGAGCCCGCGGCCUAUCAGCUUGUUGGUGGGGUAAUGGCCUACCAAGGCGGCGACGGGUAGCCGGACUGAGAGGUUGGUCGGCCACAUUGGACUGAGAUACGGCCCAG